rnacentral:lncRNA from 1 species
AAAAAUACACUUACCUGUAAGAUUAAAAUUACACAUGUGUCCCAUUUAAUGUCCAACAACAAAUAUUUUGACAACAAAUAUUUUCAGAAUGCAUAUUUUAUUCAGAAUUAUUGCGCUAUAAUUAUGUUGCUUUCCAUCUGUUUAGCGCGCAUGCGCGGAGCAGCGUUCGUUUACUCACGUAAGCCUUGCCUCGCCCACUCCUGACAGCAAAAUUGAUAUAUUUGCAUGACUUUUUAAAGAUUAAAAAUAUACCUGUGGCAUGUCAGUUAUGCACCGAGGAAAACGCAACGUCCUGGGACCUGGGUCGAAAUUCAUGCAAUUGCGUAAACUUAAAUGCCCCCAGAUCGCAUUGCUGGACCCAACAUGAAGCCUGAAGAUCAUGCUUGGCCAUAUCUUGAGAAUGAUCCAAAGGGCAUCUUGAGCUGGGAAAAACAUCAAAACUGUCUGUAUAUCAGUCACAUAAACAAUGUUUCUUAUUUGAUUUGUGAUCUAGGCCUAUAAGUAACACACAAUAUUAAAUAUUUCUAAUUAUUUUAAUUAUUAUUAUUAUUAUUAUUUUUUAAGAAUUGAUUCAAACAUUUUUAAACUCAUCCUCGAGAUGAACAGCUGCUUACAAUCAUUACUAAAUUGGUGUGAUUGUAUUAAGGGAGACGUGUGACCAAACACCUAGAAAUGUACCAGUUGUCAAGCCAUCCAAAUGCUCACAAUGAUCUGGAAUUAGGUUAGUAUAUAAUAUCAGUAACACAUUCACAACAUAAAGGUCAGGAAACUUAUGUAGAAAAAAAAAAAAAGAGUAUGUAAAAAGAUUGCUCAAAGAUCUGCUGGAUGUAAGUUGCCAAUCAACAGAUGAGGUAUUUUCACUUGAUGUACACUUGAUGUUAAUUUACUGUGGACCAUUUCCACUAUGUUCAUGCUAGUUCCAGAAAAGAGUUGUAAGCUGCAUUCACAUUUACUCCAAUAACGCUUAUUCGAGUUCAGAUUCAUGCCAAUCUUGAGAUUUCAAAGGCUUCAAAAAACUAACUGAGAUGUAGCAGGCCUAAGACACAAAAUGUGUAUAAUAUAAUUUUUUUUGUUUUUCACUAUAUAUUUAUUUAUUUAUUACUGCU